rnacentral:lncRNA from 1 species
CUGGAGUCCUGGCAGCCUUCGCUCCUCCUGGACCCAAUGUUCUGUCUUCAUUUAAUCUGUUUUAUUGAUGAGGAUUUCCACUGGAUUUUUUGACAUGUUGAGUUUUUUUUUAUUUCUUUGUGUGUUUUUCCCAUUUUCAUGAGUGUGUGCCUAUGGUGUGCAUGCCUAUGAGCUUGCACAUAUGUAAGCAUACAUGGAGACUGAGAAGAGAAAGGGAAACAUGAAUCCAGACAAGCUAAAACAAUCCUGCCUUCAGAAGACUGAUAACCCCAAACCCAGAAUAAUUCUCAACAUUGGUGAUAAAGCAAGAACCUGUAUCGAUGUCUAGCUUCCAAAAGUACCAUUCCUACUUAGGAAAGUCUUUCACUCUACUUACUACCUAAAUUUUUUUCUUGAGCCAACCAAGCAAUUUUUGAGAUGUGAUCGUCUAGUGCACUGCCCCUGAUAAUUUUCGUACAAAUUUGUUAACUUUUGUAUUACCAAAAGACUCACUGGUAUAUGGGUUUUUGUUGUUGUUGUUCUUUAGUCUGUAAUUCAAAAUAUAUCUCUGUAUGACCU